AAAAUUUCAAUAUUUCUAACCCCUGCAGUUUAAGCUGUGUUAAAUCUCUGUCAGGACAGAUUAAGUACAAAAAAGUAAUUUAUAUUGCAUAUGCGCAGUUUGAUAUUCAUAUUGGGUUGAAAUUUGUCUAAAAAUGUGUAUUCUGGUGCUCCCAAUCAUUCUACGAAAAUUCCAUUUCAAUACUAGAUCAUCCAGUCGAAAUAUUUAGUGGUACCUCUUAGCA